GUUCCUUCACAAAUCGAUACUUGGGUUUAAUGUUAAUCUCUACCUUCUUUGCCUCUAUCAGGGAAUUGUCGAGACUUUGAUGACUAAAGUUGAGGAUUACGACGCUAUCGAACCAUUUCCCCCGCCACUACCACCACAAUAGACGUGUAUUAAGAUUUUAUUAUUGUACUUUGUUAAUUUAUGUGUACAUUUGAAUAUAUUAUAUAUAUUGGAUAAUUUGAUCA